rnacentral:rRNA from 1 species
CACGUAGGGUGCGAGCGUUGUCCGGAAUUAUUGGGCGUAAAGAGCUCGUAGGCGGUGUGUCGCGUCGGCCGUGAAAACCUGCAGCUUAACUGUGGGCUUGCGGUCGAUACGGGCAUCACUGGAGUUCGGCAGGGGAGACUGGAAUUCCUGGUGUAGCGGUGAAAUGCGCAGAUAUCAGGAGGAACACCGGUGGCGAAGGCGGGUCUCUGGGCCGCAACUGACGCUGAGACGCGAAAGCGUGGGGAGCAAACAGG